rnacentral:misc_RNA from 1 species
AACGUCAUCCACAUCUCUGCGGACUUCCGGGGGGUCCAACCCAGGUAAGGUUCUUCGCGUUGCGUCGAAUUGAACCACAUGCUCCACCGCUUGUGCGGGCCCCCGUCAAUUCCUUUGAGUUUUAGCCUUGCGGCCGUACUCCCCAGGCGGGGUGCUUAACGCGUUAGCUACGACGCCUCCGGGGUCAAUACCAGAAACAUCUAGCACCCAUCGUUUACGGCGUGGACUAC